UUUUUUCAGAGUUUGAUCCUAGCUCAGGGUGAACGCUGGCGGCGUGGAUAGGGCAUGCAAGUCGAACGAGGUCUUCGGACCGAGUGGCAAACGAGGUAGUAACAGGUAGGGACCUACCCCUCAGUCGGGUACAACUCAUCGAAAGGUGAGCUAAUCCCCGAUAGUCUCUCAGGAGUAAAGUUUUUUCGCUGAGGGAGGGACCUGCUUCGUAUCAGCUUGUUGGUGCGGUAACGGCGUACCAAGGCUAUGACGCGUAGGGGAGGUGAGAGCCUGACCCCCACCGAUGGGACUGAGACACGGCCCAUACUCCUACGGGAGGCCGCAGUCGAGAAUAUUCCGCAAUGGGCGAAAGCCUGACGGAGCGACGCCGCGUGGUGGAUGAAGUACUUCGGUACGUAAACACCUUUUAUAAGGGAGGAAGUUUAUUGACGUUACCUUAUGAAUAAGGGGCUCCUAAUUCUGUGCCAGCAGGAGCGGUAAUACAGAAGCCCCGAGCGUUACCCGGAAUCACUGGGCGUAAAGCGUCUGCAGGUGGUUCUGUUAGUCGUGCGUUAAAUCUUCUGGCUCAACCAGAAAACCGCGCACGAAACGGCAGCACUAGAGGGCAGGAGAGGUGUGUGGAACUCACAGAGUAGGGGUGAAAUCCGUUGAUACUGUGGGGAACACCAAAAGCGAAGGCAGCACACUGGCCUGACCCUGACACUCAGAGACGAAAGCGUGGGUAGCGAAUGGGAUUAGAUACCCCAGUAGUCCACGCCCUAAACGUUGCUUGCUGGCUUUUUGGAGCAUUGACCUCUAAGAGGCGAAGCUAACGCGUUAAGCAAGCCGCCUGGGUAGUACGAGCGCAAGCUUAAAACUCAAAGGAAUAGACGGGGACUCGCACAAGCGGUGGAUCAUGUGGCUUAAUUCGACGAUAAGCGACAAACCUUACCAAGGCUAGAAACCUACACGACGGCAUUUCGAAAGAAGUGCUUCCUUCGGGCGGGUAGGCAGGUGAUGCAUGGCCGUCGUCAGUUCGUGGCUUGAGCUGUUCCCUUAAGUGGGGUAACGAACGCAACCCUCGUCGUCUGUUACACGUUGUCAGACGAGACUGCCCUCUCACGAGGGAGGAAGGAGAGGAUGACGCCAGGUCCGCAUGUCCCUUGACGCCUCGGGCUGCACACAUGAUACAAUGGCUGCUACAACGGGAAGCCAAGGUGUAAGCCGGAGCAAAUCCUAAUAAAAGCAGUCUCAGUCCGGAUUGAGGUCUGCAAUUCGACCUCAUGAAGUUGAAAUCGCUAGUAAUCGCGGAUCAGAAUGCUGCGGUGAAUACGUUCUCGAGUCUUGUACUCACCGCCCGCCAAGUCAAGGAAGUUGAGGGUGCCCGACGCUCCGUCUCGUACGGAUCUAAGGUAAAUUCAAUAACAAGGGCUAAGGCGUAACAAGGCACGGGUAGCGGAAGCUGUUCGUGGAAUAAUUCAAGU
rnacentral:rRNA from 1 species